AGGGGAUGGACUAAGAUUUCCCAUGUCAUCAUAUGUAUAGCAUGCAUCAUUUUUGAAUAAAUUCAACUUUCCAACAGACAACAAUGGAUGUUGAAUGUUAUCAGACAGUGACAUUCAUCUCUCCAGGAGAGGGAGAAAAGUGCUGACAUUGUAGUUGACCUUCACUAAAUUCCUCUGGCUGCAUGUCUGGAGUCUCUGGGCCAACAGAGGUGAUGACAGCCCCCUAGUUGGCUUCCCCUAUGGGUCCAG